ACAGUGGCACGAACUCCAGCCAGGUCCCAGUGGGGUCUCUGUCUCCCUGGGGCUUCAUUCCCGGUCAGAGAAUGCAGUCCUUUCCUGGCAACGGGACUCAGAAUGGAAUGUUCUGGGACCAACAGGUGUGUAAUGAGUGCUACAAAUGCUUGCUCAGUGAUGUCAGAGGAAUUGGGGCUGGCCCUGGGCCAGACGCACAGAGGUGAAGGCUGAGUUUGCUAACCCCAGCUUCUUCCCUCCCUUUCAUCUGCUGCUGCCCUCACUCAUCCUGGUCUUUCUCCUCUCCCCUCAUCUCAAACCUUUCCUUAGGAAAGGGGGUGAGUUUAGACUGUAGUGUAAAUGACUGACAGCACUUCGCUGCUCUGCCAUCUCCUUUCUUCUGUUAUUUUAACAAGCUUGACAUGGCCUUCAUCUUGGGCUUCUGAAACAAGGAUCGCAAAUCUCUAGGUUUACCUAGUGAUGUGCUGGGGGCUAGACAAAGCCAUAGGAUAGCAUGGUACACCUUUCUGAACAUCAGUUUUAUUAGAUAAGACAACAAUUACCAAAA
rnacentral:lncRNA from 1 species